GAAUUUGCAUAUAUAAUAUUCUCCAUGGCUGUAUCCCAGUCAAUGAAUAAGCCAGAGAAAGAGGAGUAUGUCUCCUGCAAGCUUCCACCUCUCCAUGGUUGUGGAAGCCAUGCAGCCUUUGAGACAGUCCUGUUUUACCAUGAAGGACGCAGAGGUGGCACAUAGAGGGUUGUAAUGGAAGCCCUGAGUGAGGGGCUUUGAGGCAUCUGGCAGACAAGAUGGGCCAUCCCAUCUGUUUCCUUCCCCCCUGGAGGGACAUCCCCUCCAGCGUCCUGGCCCAUUUCUAUCCCACGUUACCUCAUAGUCUGGGUUGGGAACAGGUGGUGGCCUCUCCUUGUUUUGUCCUGCGGAGGAAGGAGGGGAAACAUUUCAUUCCCAUGAGGGAACCAAUCUUGCAGCACUGUCUGUGCCAGUGAGACCCAGAUAGAGAAUGGCAAACCCCAUUGUUCUCUCCUCUACCGCUCCCUUUUCUGUUCAGACGUCCUUUCUCUUUUUUUUUCUUUCAUUCAUCUCUAAGGACCCUACACUCUUCUCAUCAUUUUGUGACUUUCCUCAGCUCAAGAUCCUCCCAUUGUUUCUCUCCAUAGGGGAAGGGAAAGGAAAAGGCAGGAGCUAAUAUAUCAAAGUCUCUCUUCCCACAGCUUAGGGGCGGAAUCGGAUGACUGCAGGCAUUGACAGGUAUGUGAGGAAGCCCAUCACUUUCAUAAACUUUUUUGCACUUUUCUAGGAUGGGAAGGAGGGGAGUGAUGUGAGAUUUGAAACCGUCUGUUGAGAUCUUGUCAUCACAGUAAUAGAAGCUGUGCAUAGAAGCUCUAGAGAAGCUGUUCUGACCUAGCUGUGGACUUGCCACCCACCCUGGCCCAGGCUGGUCGUCCCCCUUGGCAGGAAUCUCCUCUGACUGGACUCCACAGCCUUACCCCUUUGCCUGCCGCCAGCACCCGCUCCUCGUGUCACAGGCUUGGCCUUGGCCUUUCUAUUCUUGCUCCAGUAGUAAACCAGCAGCAGCAAGCCCCCAGUGAUGCAGAUGUCCACUAUGACAAUUGUGGCCACCGACAUCACAUCCAUCUCCAUGCAGUUCUCACACACUGUGGGGGGUGGGGUGGGGAGAGGGGAAAUCACUAAGCAAGGAAAACACAAGGCGCUGGAGGUGAGGAGGGAGUGCAUGAAGGCCAUUCUCCCCUUACUACUCACACGCUUGCCACGGUCAGAGCCCCCCCUUCAAUAUGUUUAGAACAACAUUGACAAGCAAAGAGUGGUGGCCGUGGGUAGAGGCACUGGAGUCAAACAGCCCUGGGUUUGAGUCCCAGCUUUAUUACUCACUAGCUGUGAGAAGCGUGAAAUGUGUUUUCAACUCACAAACCCUCUGUUUCCUCAUCCCUUUACUCAUGGGAAUAAAAUGAUACUUAACCCAUAUAGUUGUUGAGAGGAUUACAUGAAAAAGAAUCCUUGAUAAGUGUUGGGUACAGACAGUGCUUGAGACUUAAUAAGCACUCAAUAAAUGUUAAGUAUUGUUAUUAUUUUAUUAUUAUACCUUAGCUUAUGCCAUUUUACUAUAGUGGCCUUGAGUGUUUUUUGCAAACCUUUCUGAAAAAUUUAUCUCUGGAGGAAGCAUUAGAUAAACUCAUAUUGGUGUUUAAUCUAUAUUCCAGAAAACACUGAUGCCGUGUGGUACCAGAGAGUCCCAGGAUUGAGUGUGGGAGGAAGCGCAAAGACGCCUGGGCACUGUGAGCUGGGUUAGGGAAAAUCACUGAGAAUGCCCUUUUGAAUGGUCCUCCCUAAAGAGCCGGUGGUACCUGUUCUGGAGACCUGGAUUACCUCUUGCCCUCAGGUAGAGAUAAAAGUUCGCAUCUUCUGGUUUGCUUCCUCUGGGGUAGCAGACAUAAUAACCACUUUGCUCCAAUUCUGAAAAUUCCUUCAGUGACAGGUGAUCCUCAUCACUGCCUAUGUUUUUAUCAUCCUCAUCACCGCCUAUGUUUUUAUCAUUGUGUUGCCAUAGUAUUUCAGAUCCAGGAUACUGAGGGCAUGUCAAUAUUACUGUGGUUCCAGAGAUGGAGACUUUAUAUGCUGGGGAGAAAGAAGGGAAAUUGGCAGAAGAAACCAGGACAAUUUUAGAAAAGGCAAAUUAGUGACAAAAGAACCACCCAAAUGCAGGAAGUCAUCUGUCAUCUAGAUCUUAGACUUGCUUGUCAGAAGGGAGCUCUACUGGCUAGAGGGUGUGGAAGAGGAGAUAUGUGGAAUGAAGGGAACUAGAGAACCUUGAAGGGAACUAGAGAACCUUUUGAGAGGUGGCUUUAGGGUUUACGCAGGGACAUGGGGACUUGGGAAGGGUAAGAUGGAUGUAAAGAAAAACCCACAGAAGUCCCUAUUUGGAACCUUUCUAAAAUGGAGUUGAGAAUGCAAUGCUGGGAAGAUAUCAGUUCUUGGGGUUAAUCUCUCUCAAUCAGUUCCUUCUCAUCUACCCACCAAUCUGCAUCCUCAGACAGGGCAUAAAUAAAAGACCAAUAAACUCACGUGUCUGUGUAAUACCACCUGAAAAUG
rnacentral:lncRNA from 1 species